CCUAUCCAUUGGCAUCCUCCAUGUUCAAGCCAACUGGAGGCUCUUGGUGGGGUUAAGCCCUACCUCUCUCAGCAUUUUGGGCAACAUCAUGCUCAAAGAACAGACUACAAAGACUUUGAUACCGUGACUGGAGCAGUGCUUGAGGAGCUUUGUACGCAGCCAGGUUGUUUUCACAGAAAGAAUCGUGUGAAGCAAGUGGCAAGAGACAUGCAGUGAGAAGAGAAAAAUGCUUCUGAUGGUCCCAGUACUGAGAAUAUGCUGUGCAACUCGCACACACUCAACCGCAGAUCUUAUCAGGCUGGUCUGUUUCCACUGAGAGGUGUCUGCUGUUCCCCUCUAUCAGCGAUGCACAGGCAACAGUUGUGGAGAUUAUAAACUUCUUUAUUUUGGUAAGUAAUCUCCAGAUCUCUGCACAGCAAAAGGUCACGUAUUCUUGCCUUCUUAAUAAGAAGCACGGCCGCAAAUGUUACCGUGCAACUGAAGCUGAGAAACACACUGCUCAAAUGGGAGGCUACAAUGAGGACUAUGGAUGUCCCAGCGGCAACAGAAGCUGUUUUCUUUCCAAGGAUGGGUCAUGGAAAAAUCCAUCUGCUCCAAUCUGGGUAUCUGCAAGGGCUUGUGACUUUCUGUGCACCAGAGUCAUCUCAAGUGCUCAGUAUGGUCAGUGCCGAGGAAUAGAUACUGCAAUUUGAUUUAGGCCUGAUGGAGUCUUCUCCUUCUGUAGUCAUUCCUGUCCAGCCAUUGUGGGCAUUUGUAAACAGAGCUGACACGAGAACACGCUAAAAUGAAAGCAGAAAUGCAGCACUGGCAACUGCAAAACUCUUUUCCUUAACUCCAUUCUCAGAA
rnacentral:lncRNA from 1 species